rnacentral:misc_RNA from 1 species
AAGUCGUAACAAGGUCUCCGUAGGUGAACCUGCGGAGGGAUCAUUAACACGUAUCCACGUACCACUAGUAAGUCACUCUUGUGAACUUAGUUUCCGCGACCCCAGCGCCAUUGAGAUCCACAAACAGUAGAACGGCCAAAAGCCGUUGAUCUCUGCUGGGAGAGAAACACGUCCAGAAAUGACUCGAAACUUUCCCGCACUUCGGUGUUGCAGUUUGCUGCUGUUUUGUAUCAGUUGUACCUUUUACCAUUGUAACCUUUCGUCUGACUCGGUACAGCUCCGAAAGGAGCUUCUACCUAAUACGAAACUAUUUACAACUCUUAGCAACGGAUAUCUUGGUUCUC